CGGCUGCCACGGAUUCGUUCGCUAGUUCUGGACAAACCACCGAGCAGAAAACAAUACCCCGGUCAAGGAACUACGGGGGAAACCCCCACCCCCCACCCAAAAACUGGCAGGGGAAGCUCCUGCCUGUAAGCAGGCAGCCAACCCCACUCCCCGCUCUUUCGCAGCGCCCCUUUCCCUCAACACCGUCAAGCGCCAGACCCCCGGCAGGAGAGAUUCACUUCGAAAACUCACCCAAGGAGACAAAUGGACCCCACCGGUUUAAACCGCCCCCAGCAUCAACCCUUUUCUGAGCCACGUUCCUCCAACGCUGCCAAGAGCAAGCUCUGGACGGGGGCCGUGGGGGCCGUGCUGGGGGUGGUCUUCCUGGCCGUGGGGCUCUCCCUCUACCUGAAGAACAAGAAAGCAACUCCCAUCCAGCAACCUGCAGGUGAGUUUCUUCUAUUCCCCCUCCAUUAAUUAGGAAGUUCUUCUAAUUCUCUCUUCUGGAGC